rnacentral:rRNA from 1 species
UACGUAGGGCGCAAGCGUUGUCCGGAAUUAUUGGGCGUAAAGAGCUCGUAGGCGGCCUGUUACGUCUGCUGUGAAAUCCCGGGGCUUAACCCCGGGCGUGCAGUGGAUACGGGCAGGCUGGAGGCAGGCAGGGGAGAACGGAAUUCCCGGUGUAGCGGUGAAAUGCGCAGAUAUCGGGAGGAACACCGGUGGCGAAGGCGGUUCUCUGGGCCUGUACUGACGCUGAGGAGCGAAGGCGUGGGGAGCGAACAGG